GACGAACGCUGGCGGCGUGCUUAACACAUGCCGGUCGAACGGAAAGGCCCUGCUUUUGUGGGGUGCUCGAGUGGCGAACGGGUGAGUAACACGUGAGUAACCUGCCCUUGACUUUGGGAUAACUUCAGGAAACUGGGGCUAAUACCGGAUAGGAGCUCCUGCUGCAUGGUGGGGGUUGGAAAGUUUCGGCGGUUGGGGAUGGACUCGCGGCUUAUCAGCUUGUUGGUGGGGUAGUGGCUUACCAAGGCUUUGACGGGUAGCCGGCCUGAGAGGGUGACCGGCCACAUUGGGACUGAGAUACGGCCCAGACUCCUACGGGAGGCAGCAGUGGGGAAUAUUGCACAAUGGGCGGAAGCCUGGUGCAGCAACGCCGCGUGCGGGAUGACGGCCUUCGGGUUGUAAACCGCUUUCGCCUGUGACGAAGCGUGAGUGACGGUAAUGGGUAAAGAAGCACCGGCUAACUACGUG
rnacentral:rRNA from 1 species